GUUGCAUCCGAGUCUGCGUUUAGCACGUGCGGAAGAGUUAUAACUGAUCACAGAACUAGCCUUGGAGCUGAUAGUGUUGAGGCAUUGAUGUGUUAUGGGGAUUGGAUUAGGCGUGGUGAACCUUCUUGCGAAGAAAGCUAACCUCAUCUGGUUUCGUGAUUGUUCCAGCAGGAAAGGAUGGAAAGGUUGCCAGAGAUGAAGAAAAUGCAAGCAGAUCUCAUGGUCCAAGCAAAAGAGAGUUGAGGCGUUGUAGGCUUAUAAACUUUGCCUUAUAUCUGUUGUUUGCUGACUCAGUUAUGUCAUUGAGCUGAAUUUUGUGUUGAAAUGUCACAGUUGUUGAGGUUUUAUUCAGUGCCUCGGAAAAAUAGUAACAGUUAGUUCAGUUGAGCACAAUUUCGACCAUGGAUUAUAAACACAAUUUCCAGUGUUUUUGGCUGAUUACAUAAAGUUCAGUUGAGCAGUUAGUUUAACUA